rnacentral:lncRNA from 1 species
AGCUUGUGGCUGGGCUAACGAGUGUGUGCAAACCAUCCGGCGUGUGAGAGAAAGGCACAGCAUUGUCAGGAGGGCACCCAGAGACAUCCCCCUCCUCCCGUGAAGGGCCUGUGCCCUACCUUAUGCCAGAGGAAAGAAAUUCAGCAGGAGCUCCAGGAAAAGCAGCGGGUCCGUUGGGGAAAUUAAAUGGAAGCACGACAAAUCUGGAUUGUUCCUGCCAAAACCAACUUUCAUUACUUUAUAAUUCAACAUGUGUUACCAGCUCCUAUUAUUAGAAAGGCAAACUUCCUCCACUGUGGGAAGAGGCUGAGAUGGAGCUUUCCAGCCUUCUCUUCUGGGCAAUGUGUGAGUGUCAGGGUGAUCCUGACAGGACCAACAAAAGCCUGCCAGAAUGACAGAACAAAAUGUAGCUGGGAGGGAGAUGCCUGACUUGUUACAGUGGGGUUGGAUGUUAAAUGUACAAGGGUUAUCAGAGAGGGGCUGUGAUUCCUGGUGCUUCCUCCCCACCUCAGCAGGAGGAAAUCCCCACUGUUCCCACUUUUCCAGAGUGUCCUGGGCAGAGUGGGAACUUCAGACAGAGUUAUUCAGGGAGACCAUCCCACUGAGCCAGUGACCCUCCUUGCUUUCUAAACUCCCUCUCACGAGACUUUAAAGCUGUGCAGCUGUAAUUGAACCUUUAUCCUGCAGGAAUAAGGGUGGCAAACCAG